UAAAUGAAACGGAGGGGCAGAAGUUUUGUUUAUGCCUUGUGCCGCUGGCACGCUGCGUUGUUGUGCCCACAUGUUGGCGACUGUGCUGGGUGUGGAUUAAAAUACGCACUACUAUAACAUAUUUAGUAUUGUAGACAUCCAAUAAGUGCUUCAUAACAGACGCAGACGUAUACAAAGUGCCACAUUAUCCUUGGCUUGACGAUAUUUUACGCCAUAGAAACGCUUGUAGUUAUUUGUGCUCGUUAAAUUCAAAAUAAAAUUGUCAUAAAUCCAUAUCUACUGCAGCUACGUGAAUUGGUGUAAAUCUGUGAGUGAUAUCUCACACUAAUUACUUGUGUUACAAAAUUCAGUUUGAAUCGUUGUAUAUAUGGUUGACGAUUCAAGUGUGUUGUUUUAUCAGCAGUGAGUGGGAAUACAAGCCGAUUAAAAGAAACUGACAUCCGUGAAUACUGAGCGUCAGCGCACGCUUUGCCGACUCGUUUUGUCAUGAAGGAAGAACCACUGGAUUCUUUCUCGCCGGUCAACACGGGACCUGAAAGCUUCACAACUGCACCAGAACAGGACCAAAGUGCAGAUACAUUUCCGGUCCCAGAAAUGACAGAAACUCAGGGGUUUGAGUUUGUGGCUGUGAAACAGGAAUGGGUCGAAGAUGGGGUGAAGAAAGAUGACUGGGAUGAGGCUCAGGAGCCUGAGAAUGCAGCUGUAGAGGAAGAUGAGAUUCAUGCAAAAACAGAGCCAUCUGAGUGGCACACGCCAGAGGAAUCCGAAUCAGGAGACACAACAGUGGACACUCCAAGGUUCAUCCCGCAGGGCCAGGACCUGCCUACUACUGACAAAUGUGCUGCCAUAAUUGCCAGAAGUGACGAUAUCCUGCUUGGUGAUAGUAAUCACAGUGGCAGCAGUAAGGAAUGUGAUAAGAACAAAAGCGACAGACUCCUACUGUCAGGACAGGUGGUGUACUCAGAGAUGCAGGAUAAAGUAGGUACCCAUAAAGACACCUAUUCUGUCACAAACAGCACGUCGAGUGACAGAUUUCGCAAGGCCACCUCCGAUGGCGAUUGCAGUCGCUACCGGACAAGUGCCGACUGCGAGAGUGUCUCCCCGUCAGGGAACGACCGUGUCGUCGAGCUGCCGUCACUGCCGCCUGUCGAACGGGACGUCUACACGUGCGACGUCUGUCGGGAAGCGUUUACUGACAAGGGAGCUCUGAGAACCCACUUGCAGCAGCACGUGCUGAUAUGUGACAUCUGCCACAAGGCUUUCCGUGGCACCGACGGCCUCGAGGUGCACUACCGGACGCACGCGGCCGAGAGGCCCUUCCCCUGUGAGGCUUGCGGCAAGGCGUUCUCGCGCAGCGAUAAGCUGAGGCUGCAUUCGCUGCAGCACACGGGCCGGCGGCCCUACCGCUGCGAUACCUGCGGCGAGACGUUCUCGCGCAGCGACAACCUCGGGCAGCACACACUGCGGCACACGGGUGAAUGCCCCUACAGCUGCAGUGACUGCGGUAAGAAGUUCUCACGCAGCAAUAACUUCAGGCAGCACCGUCUGCAACACACGGGCGAGCGACCCCACGAGUGCGGCGUCUGCCACAAGCGGUUCACCAACGCCAGCAACCUGGCACAGCACUCGCGCGUCCAUACGGGCGAGCGGCCCUACCGCUGUGACACCUGCGGCAGAUCAUUCGCGCGAAGCAGAAACCUGAAAGUGCACCGUCGCCCGCACACGGGCGAGUGGCUCUACGCCUGCGACGACUGCGGCAAGGCGUUUGUUUACGGCAGUGGCGUGCAGAAGCCCAGGCAAGUCCGAACACAGGUGGAGUCUUGAGACUGUGCCCUCUUCUGGAAACAUUUUGCACAGACGACCAGUCUGAACUGGCACUCGUGGCUCCACGGCUUCGGAAAGCCGAGAGGUUCGGCUGACAGUGCAAAAAUGGGUGCUUAUGAACUUGUCGUACAUCUUACGACGAUUUCACACUGUGACACCCUUAUUCUAAUUAAUAUUGUUGUAGCAGUGAUUCCAUAAUACAAUCAGAUCAUUACAAAUUAAUUAUUUGCAAAUGCUUCAGGUAGAAUAGAAAUCUUAUGUACAAAUUAAAAAUUUUUUAGAACAUAAUGUGUCACAUUGUAAUCGAAAGUAUUGAACUUUGUAUUUUCAGCUGUGUAUGAAUAUAGAUGGUCUCAUCUGCUUGCUGCUAAAACAGGUGUCACGAGUACUUCCUGUUUGGAGUACAAUGAGCGUUCCACAGACCGCCGGAGCCAGUAGACAGAAAACUUCGACCUCACUUGAACCUGUGUUGCGUGUACACUGUGCUGUGAGAUAUUUAUCAAUAGAGGGUAUUUGUACCACUAAUUUACUUUUGCCUGCAUCACACAGGAAGUAAAUAGUGACUGUAAACAAAAUACAGCAAGUGAUCCUGAUUGUAGAUUUGAUACAGAGCAUGAUUAUGAGAGCCACCCAAUUAUAAGGAAAUGUAAAAUUGAUAAGGUGAAGUGGAAGAAACGGGUUGCAAAAAAGAAGAGGAAUUCGGGACACUGUUCUGGUUUACUGAAAUCUGAUUGCUGCCACCCUCAGUGAUCCCAAAAUUGUGGCACUGCAGUUGCCUGAUGGAGUCCUGUUAUAUUGUCCGUGUGAGCUGAUGAUUAAUUGAUUACCAACAGCAAUUGUACUUAUGCUGAAAUACUAUAUUAAAUAUGAUUAUAAAUGCGUAAUAAAUGCUUUGAAUCUCA